AUGUUCAGGAAUACUAUUGACUCCCACGAACUCGUUCGUUUCAUCGACGCGUGUCCGUGCUUGCAGAGACUCGAGAUUAAGUUUACGGCAACAAACUUUCACGAUAGGUAUUAUCAUAUGAAGGUGGUGAACAAGACCUCAAAUGAUGAUCAUCCGAAAACGGUGAAACUGUCGGGAAUCAAAGCGUCUCCGAACGAAGUGGAACUCGGGGUGCUCGUUGUUGAAAAAGCUACGGCACUUGAAGAGCUUAUCGUGGAAAUUAGCCCCGACAAAAGCUACACAAACCGAGAAAGGAUGAGAGCUCGUAUACGGAAAGAAUUUCAACCAAUACUACAAGAUUCGGUUAAUUUUGUUGUUGUCUAGAUAUUUAAUUUAAUCUAAGACCAUCGAAUUUAUAU